rnacentral:rRNA from 1 species
UACGAAGGGGGCUAGCGUUGUUCGGAAUUACUGGGCGUAAAGCGUGCGCAGGCGGCUUCUCAAGUCAGGGGUGAAAGCCCAGAGCUCAACUCUGGAAUUGCCUUUGAGACUGAGUGGCUUGAGUACGAGAGAGGUGAGUGGAAUUCCCAGUGUAGAGGUGAAAUUCGUAGAUAUUGGGAAGAACACCAGUGGCGAAGGCGGCUCACUGGCUCGUAUCUGACGCU